GGUGAUAUUUUCCCUUUUUCACUUCUCAUUUUCUCCUCUUUUUGCCCUAAUCAUAUGAAGGUGUUAACACGUUCUCUAUGUUGGAUUUUAUGGAAGUGGAGGGAUAGGUAAAACAACUACUUCUGUAAAAGUAAUUGUUAUAGUUAGUUGUUGUUUUACCUAUUCCACCAAUUCCAUCUAUCCCUUCCCUUCAAGUUUUCUGAUUUCUUCUGAAGAAGGCAAGUAUAGUGGGUUUUUACUCCGGUUUUGUCUUCCAAUAAAUUGAUUUUAAGAUUUUUAACUGAAGUUUUGUUUGGUUAUUUGUUGGGAAGUUCACGGAUCUGAGUUUAUGUUUUGAUUGUUCUCGGUUUAUAAUGGAGAUCUCAGAUCUCUGAUUAUGAUGUAUUUGUUGCCCCGAUUUAGUAGAUCUGUUAUUUCAAAAUUGUGAGAAUAAAUUAAAUUAAGUAAACUAGAGAAACAAAACUUAAAUUAGGUUUUUUUCUCUGGUUUUCUAUGUUAGUAUUUAAUUUUAAGAUUGUUAACAGCAAUUUUGUUUGAUUUUUUGUUUGUUUGUUUAUUUUUCCUUUUUUUUCUCUAGAGGUUCAUAGAUCUGGGAGUCUAAGUUUGGAAGUUGUUAGUUUAUAGCUGAGAUAUCAGAUUUUGUUGUAUUUGGCGUCCCUAAUUUAGAAGACAUGUUGUUUUUAAAUUGUGAGAAUUUAAUUUAAUUAAAUGAAGUUCACGGAUCAGUGGAAUGUGUUCAGAUCUUGCAAUUAGCUCAAUGUAUUUGCAAACUCGGCAUUUUGUUUUUUUUUUUUCAUUUUUUUUGGUUCAAAUUUUGUAACAAGUCACCUGUCAUAUCUUUCUAUUUAAUGGUUAUCACUUUCUACCUUGCAUAUGUUUUAUGCCCUAAAUGAUUAUCAAUGGGCAUUUAAGUGAAUAAAAAGUCCCAAGUAGAAGGGAAACACCUUUGGUUCUCACAUCGCAGUAUUUGGUCAUGUUUUUCGAUAAAUAAAUCUGAGGAUGAGGUUUUUUUUUUUUGGUACAUGAAGAUGACGUUGUCGAAGAAGUACUUUCAGAAAAUGAAUGGAACAGCAAUUGAAAGUGUGAAAGCAUUGAUAUCAUGUUGGACAUGGCAUGUGAGGAAGUUGUGUAUUUCAUAAUUCAUAGUUCUUAGAAUGGCUCAAAUACUUUGAAAAUAGUGGCCUUUGGAUGGUCAUCUGCAAGUUCCAAGUUUUAAGAGGACUAAGUCUGAACAUGAUAAGAAUCUGCAAAAUAAGCGAAGUUCAAAUUUUUACACCUCACAAUAAUGACAUUGCAACCCUGAUGUUACUCAACCAAAGAAAUGGGGAAGAAGUUGCACAACAGGGAACGAAGAGUCUUGAGUCUUAAUUUACGGUUAGGAUAAUCUAGGUGCAUAAAUUGCAGGGGAGGAAUAAAAUUUAGAUAUAGUAUCAUAAGUACAGUUGAUGUUGUUCUUUAAUCAAAUUUAAAGUUUUACCUCAAUAAUGUACUGUUUAGAAAUAAAUAAACUUAAGGGGUUGAUUGAGAGGUGUAAAAUUUUGGUGUGUUUAUAUAUGUGAGAUAUGUUUGAUUUUUAUGAAAUGUAAAAUUUUCUUUUCAAGGUUUCGUUUUGUUUAUAUAUGUGAGAAUUAUGUUUGAAUUUCAUGAUACGUAAAAUUUUCUUAUGAGAGGAGCAAAUUAAAUUAUGGAUCUGAAAAAAUAGUGGACAAAUUUGACGACAUUGGGACAAGCAUCCUUCAUUGCGACAUGGAUUAAUGAAUGUGAUCGGGAUUAGAACUCGAUGACAUGAAUGUAAUCCACAGCCACAUGGCAUUAUUGCGAAUAAUUAGAUACCCCUGUCCAAGAUAAAUACGCUAGUCGCAUUUCUUUCUUUUUCA
rnacentral:lncRNA from 1 species